rnacentral:rRNA from 1 species
CCUACGGGUGGCAGCCGUGAGGAAUCUUGGUCAAUGGGCGCGAGCCUGAACCAGCCAAGUAGCGUGAAGGAUGACUGCCCUACGGGUUGUAAACUUCUUUUAUAAAGGAAUAAAGUGAGGAAAGUGUGCCUUUUUGUAUGUACUUUAUGAAUAAGGAUCGGAUAACUCAGUGCCCGCCGCCGCGGUAAUACGGAGGAUCCGAGCGUUAGCCGGAUUUGUUGGGUUUAAAGGGAGCGUAGAUGGGUUGUUAAGUCAGUUGUGAAAGUUUGCGGCUUAACCGUAAAAUUGCAAUGGAUACUGGCAGUCGUGAGUACAGUUGAGGUAGGCGGAAUUCGUGGUGUAGCGGUGAAAUGCUUAGAUAUCACGAAGAACUCCGAUUGCGAAGGCAGCUUACUAAACUGCCACUGACAUGGAUGCUCGAAAGUGUGGGUAUCAAACAGGAUUAGAUACCCUUGUAGUC